rnacentral:tRNA from 1 species
GGUGGCUCAGUGGUAGAGUGCUUGCCUCACAUGUAUGAGGCCCUGGGUUCGAUUCCACAGCACCA